UACAAUUUCUCCUGAAAUAGAGAUUUUGAAAUUCUCACGUUUUCUAAGUGAAAAAGGCCCACAAUCCAAGGCUAAAAAUAUGUCGAAUUGAAGUGGUGAAUUCGGGAUUGAUUCUUUCUUUUCCUGGUGAAGAUGGCUUGAAAGGAGUGGAAGAGGAAAAAAAAGCAGAGGACGACCAAGAAGGCUGGGACCAAGGUGGAUCGAUUCUUUUUCUUCCUUUUUGGCUAUCAAAAGAGGGAAGCCACU
rnacentral:lncRNA from 1 species